rnacentral:lncRNA from 1 species
GACAAGGUUUGGGUUAAAUAUUGAGAUUAUAAAAUCAUCAAUAACUUUUGAAUUAUUGAGUUUGCUAAUGUGAAAAUUAUAUGAAUAGAUUUGUCUUAAAAAAAUACUUUCAUAAUAAUAUACAUAUAUCAUCUUUUCUAAUAUUUUUUUAAAAAUAAGUGGUUAAAGUUGUAUUUUGGAGACUGUAUCACUGUCUUAAACAACUUAUAAAUCCUACACGGAGGGAGUAGUAGAGUAGCACACGGUUACAUGUAUAUUUUUCAGAUACUAAAUCUAAAUUUCGAAAGCUAUACCAAGUAACGACAAUUACAUUACGAAUUGACUAACCACAAAAAGCACAACUACCGAACGCAAAGAUUGUGUUUCGAAAGAAAAAUUAAAAAAAAAUCCAAGAUUGCACAUAAAAGGCUUUUUGCACUUGAUG